GACGAACGCUGGCGGCGUGCUUAACACAUGCAAGUCGAACGGUGAAGCGCCUUCCUUUUUGGUGGGUGUGGAUGAGUGGCGAACGGGUGAGUAACACGUGAGUAACCUGCCCCCUUCUUCUGGAUAACCGCAUGAAAGUGUGGCUAAUACGGGAUAUUCUGGGUCUGUCGCAUGAUGGGUCUGGGAAAGAUAUUGUUUCGGUGGGGGAUGGGCUCGCGGCCUAUCAGCUUGUUGGUGGGGUGAUGGCCUACCAAGGCGGUGACGGGUAGCCGGCCUGGGAGGGUGGACGGUCACACUGGGACUGAGACACGGCCCAGCCUCGUACGGGAGGCAGCAGUGGGGAAUAUUGCACGAUGGGCGCAAGCCUGAUGCAGCGACGCCGCGUGAGGGAUGGAGGCCUUCGGGUUGUGAACCUCUUUCGCCAGUGAAGCAGGCCUGCCUCGUUUGUGGGUGGGUUGACGGUAGCUGGAUAAGAAGCGCCGGCUAACUACGUG
rnacentral:rRNA from 1 species